rnacentral:lncRNA from 1 species
CUUUUAGUGCUUUCCAGUCGAUAGUAGGGACAAAGAAAAAUCAUGACUGCCAAUGUUUCACUGUGAGUUAAAAUGCUCAGAAAAAUUAGUUACUUUUUUUUUUUAGGUCUAGUUCAGCUUGAAAAGAUACAGCUUUGUAUGAAAUGCCAUAUGCUGCCUGACGAAGCUUUCCUUUAAGGUUGUACCUUAUGCAUUCGCGUAAGCCUGUGAAAAGGAGCAAAAACAAAUGCUUGGAUCUGAUUUCUGUCUUCCUCUGGAUCUUUGGAUCAGUUCUAACUCCCACCCAGCCUCAUUCAUUGAUUCUGAUGGUGGUAUCCGGAGCACCUGCUGUGGGCAAAACUGUUCUUACAUCAUCUUACAAACACAGUGACCUCAAACAUGAAAUCAUGAGGUUAAUACCAUACCCAAGGCUUCCAAUAAGGCCCUUUCCAGGGGUCUGGGCUGAGUUUUUGAAAACGCCAUGGUAAUUUCUAGCUCUUGAUCAACACAAGAAUUACCAAAGGUAGAAAGCGUUCUGCCGUACAAGAACACAAGAGAAUGGUCCAGCAGAGCAGCAGUCUGAAUGGGGGAGUUCGUGGCACUCCUGCGAUGGCGAGAUCAGAAUCGGCUCCAACAUCUCUGAAGGGCUACGCCAUUUGUUCACACCGCAGUUCAACAGCUUUAAACAUCUCGUGGCAAAGCUGCGGUACAACUGCUCUAAAGCUUCACGAGCACGCUGAGGCCCACCUCCUUCCUUCCUGCAAAGGUCGGGCAGCUGGAGGCAGUGACACCAGGUGAAGCUGAGCAUGCUCAUCACUUGGGAAACCCAGGCCCCUGGUGAUCUUCUCUGACGUUAAUUGACUGUCAGACCCUGCAAGAGGGGAGGCAACACCUUUCCUGAUCUGUGGUCUGGAGUAGUGUUUUCCAGACUCUGGAGUGAAUUUCACGUUGUUGCAAAGGAAACGAUGAUGCAGUCCUCCAGCAGCUGCUGUGCUCCAGCAUCCUUGCAAAGAAACGCUGCUAAGGGUUGCCCCCAGCAAAACUGAAGCUAUCAUCCUGAAAGAGAGCGCUUGAAAAAGCAAGCUUUUAUGUGAGACUGCUGGGGGUGUGAUCUCAUUUUCCUACAUGCCAGAUCUAUGAGUCCUGUACCUCAAGUGUGGAA